UACGAAGGGGGCUAGCGUUGUUCGGAAUUACUGGGCGUAAAGCGCACGUAGGCGGGUCGUUAAGUCAGGGGUGAAAUCCCAGAGCUCAACUCUGGAACUGCCUUUGAUACUGGCGACCUAGAGUUCGGAAGAGGUUAGUGGAAUUCCCAGUGUAGAGGUGAAAUUCGUAGAUAUUGGGAAGAACACCAGUGGCGAAGGCGGCUAACUGGUCCGAUACUGACGCUGAGGAGCGAAAGUGUGGGGAGCGAACAGG
rnacentral:rRNA from 1 species